CAUAUACAUGCAGUCGACGACUCUGGUAUUGAUUGGUGCUUGCAUCAUGAUUUACAUUUGAGAGAGGGGGGAACUGGUGAGUAACACGUGGGAAACCUGCCCAGAAGCGGGGGAUAACACCUGGAAACAGAUGCUAAUACCGCAUAACAACUUGGACCGCAUGGUCCGAGUUUGAAAGAUGGCUUCGGCUAUCACUUUUGGAUGGUCCCGCGGCGUAUUAGCUAGAUGGUGGGGUAACGGCUCACCAUGGCAAUGAUACGUAGCCGACCUGAGAGGGUAAUCGGCCACAUUGGGACUGAGACACGGCCCAAACUCCUACGGGAGGCAGCAGUAGGGAAUCUUCCACAAUGGACGAAAGUCUGAUGGAGCAACGCCGCGUGAGUGAAGAAGGGUUUCGGCUCGUAAAACUCUGUUGUUAAAGAAGAACAUAUCUGAGAGUAACUGUUCAGGUAUUGACGGUAUUUAACCAGAAAGCCACGGCUAACUACGUGCCAGCAGCCGCGGUAAUACGUAGGUGGCAAGCGUUGUCCGGAUUUAUUGGGCGUAAAGCGAGCGCAGGCGGUUUUUUAAGUCUGAUGUGAAAGCCUUCGGCUCAACCGAAGAAGUGCAUCGGAAACUGGGAAACUUGAGUGCAGAAGAGGACAGUGGAACUCCAUGUGUAGCGGUGAAAUGCGUAGAUAUAUGGAAGAACACCAGUGGCGAAGGCGGCCUGUCUGGUCUGUAACUGACGCUGAGGCUCGAAAGUAUGGGUAGCAAACAGGAUUAGAUACCCUGGUAGUCCAUACCGUAAACGAUGAAUGCUAAGUGUUGGGAGGGUUUCCGCCCCUUCAGUGCUGCAGCUAACCGCCA
rnacentral:rRNA from 2 species